rnacentral:pre_miRNA from 1 species
CCACGUCCACUUGACGCAUUUCGGCUUGCUCGCCUUUCUCAAAAGACCACUUUUGAGAAAGGCGAGCAAGCCGAAACGCGUCAAGUGAACGUGGACU